ACUGUACUCCAAUAAAAAUUUUUAAAUAAAAUUGGAACAAUACAGAGAAGAUCAGCAGGAUGACAUGCAAAUUAAUGAAGUGUUCCAUAUUUUU
ensembl:snRNA U6 U6 spliceosomal RNA